rnacentral:rRNA from 1 species
GAAAGGCCAAGGUUUCCUGAUCAACGCUAAUCGGAUCAGGGUUAGUCGGGUCCUAAGGCGAACCGAUUUAGGGUAGUCGAUGGAAAGCAGGUUAAUAUUCCUGCACCAGCGGAGAGGGACGGAGAAGUGUGGCAACAUAGACUGACGGAAUAGUUGAGCCUAGUCGUAUGACGAAGCGCAGUUGUGAAGCUUCUUCCAAGAAAAGCUCCCGCAUAAGCCCGUACCGUAAACCGACACAGGUGGCCGGGUUGAGAAUACUAAGGGGCUCAAGUGAAUCACGGUUAAGGAAUUCGGCAAAUUAACCCUGUAACUUCGGGAUAAAGGGUGCCUACGCAAGUAGGCCGCAGUGAAUUGGUCCAGGCGACUGUUUAUCAAAAACACAGGGCUCUGCAAAAUCGA